rnacentral:rRNA from 1 species
GUAGGGUGCAAGCGUUGUCCGGAAUUACUGGGCGUAAAGAGUUCGUAGGCGGUUUGUCGCGUCGUUUGUGAAAACCAGCAGCUCAACUGCUGGCUUGCAGGCGAUACGGGCAGACUUGAGUACUGCAGGGGAGACUGGAAUUCCUGGUGUAGCGGUGAAAUGCGCAGAUAUCAGGAGGAACACCGGUGGCGAAGGCGGGUCUCUGGGCAGUAACUGACGCUGAGGAACGAAAGCGUGGGUAGCGAACAGGAUUAGAUACCCUGGUAGUCCACGCCGUAAACGGUGGGCGCCAGGUGUGGGUUCCUUCCACGGGAUCCGUGCCGUAGCUAACGCAUUAAGCGCCCCGCCUGGGGAGUACGGCCGCAAGGCUA